rnacentral:rRNA from 2 species
UGCAAGUCGAGCGAACUGAUUAGAAGCUUGCUUCUAUGAGGGUAGCGGCGGACGGGUGAGUAACACGUGGGCAACCUGCCUGUAAGACUGGGAUAACUUCGGGAAACCGAAGCUAAUACCGGAUAGGAUCUUCUCCUUCAUGGGAGAUGAUUGAAAGAUGGUUUCGGCUAUCACUUACAGAUGGGCCCGCGGCGCAUUAGCUAGUUGGUGAGGUAACGGCUCACCAAGGCAACGAUGCAUAGCCGACCUGAGAGGGUGAUCGGCCACACUGGGACUGAGACACGGCCCAGACUCCUACGGGAGGCAGCAGUAGGGAAUCUUCCGCAAUGGACGAAAGUCUGACGGAGCAACGCCGCGUGAGUGAUGAAGGCUUUCGGGUCGUAAAACUCUGUUGUUAGGGAAGAACAAGUACCAGAGUAACUGCUCGUACCUUGACGGUACCUAACCAGAAAGCCACGGCUAACUACGUGCCAGCAGCCGCGGUAAUACGUAGGUGGCAAGCGUUAUCCGGAAUUAUUGGGCGUAAAGCGCGCGCAGGCGGUUUCUUAAGUAUGAUGUGAAAGCCCACGGCUCAACCGUGGAGGGUCAUUGGAAACUGGGGAACUUGAGUGCAGAAGAGAAAAGCGGAAUUCCACGUGUAGCGCUGAAAUGUGUAGAGAUAUGCAGGAACACCAGUGGCGAAGGCGGCUUUUUUAGUCUGUCACUGACGCUGAGGC